UAGGGCUCUCGGCAAUGGAUAUCUUGGCUCUCGCAUCGAUGAAGAGCGCAGCGAAAUGCGAUACGUGGUGCGAAUUGCAGAAUCCCGUGAACCAUCGAGUUUUUGAACGCAAGUUGCGCCUGAGGCCAGCCGGCCAAGGGCACGUCCGCCUGGGCGUCAAGCAUUGAAUCGCUCC
rnacentral:rRNA from 2 species